CCUUUUCACUUAAAGGAAGCACUUUAUGGCUUCUCUUUGGCAUAUCCUAAUUGCCAGCAUCACUACCCUUGUACUUUGGGGCCAUUGUUAAGCAGAAAUAAGGGUGACUUGAAC